CGGCGUGCCUAAUACAUGCAAGUCGAACGCACUGACGUCGACAGAAGGUGCUUGCGCUGGAAGUUGAUUGACGUGAGUGGCGGACGGGUGAGUAACACGUGGGUAACCUGCCCUUAAGCGGGGGAUAACAUUUGGAAACAGAUGCUAAUACCGCAUAAAAGUUGAGAUCACAUGGUCUUAAUUUGAAAGACGGCCUUUGGCUGUCACUUAAGGAUGGACCCGCGGCGUAUUAGCUAGUUGGUGAGAUAAUAGCCCACCAAGGCGAUGAUACGUAGCCGACCUGAGAGGGUAAUCGGCCACAUUGGGACUGAGACACGGCCCAAACUCCUACGGGAGGCAGCAGUAGGGAAUCUUCCACAAUGGACGAAAGUCUGAUGGAGCAACGCCGCGUGAGUGAAGAAGGUUUUCGGAUCGUAAAACUCUGUUGUUGGAGAAGAACAGGGACUAGAGUAACUGUUAGUCCUUUGACGGUAUCCAACCAGAAAGCCACGGCUAACUACGUGCCAGCAGCCGCGGUAAUACGUAGGUGGCAAGCGUUGUCCGGAUUUAUUGGGCGUAAAGCGAGCGCAGGCGGUUUCUUAAGUCUGAUGUGAAAGCCUUCGGCUUAACCGAAGAAGUGCAUCAGAUACUGGGAAACUUGAGUGCAGAAGAGGAAAGUGGAACUCCAUGUGUAGCGGUGAAAUGCGUAGAUAUAUGGAAGAACACCAGUGGCGAAGGCGGCUUUCUGGUCUGUAACUGACGCUGAGGCUCGAAAGUAUGGGGAGCGAACAGGAUUAGAUACCCUGGUAGUCCAUACCGUAAACGAUGAAUGCUAAGUGUUGGAGGGUUUCCGCCCUUCAGUGCUGCAGCUAACGCAUUAAGCAUUCCGCCUGGGGAGUACGACCGCAAGGUUGAAACUCAAAGGAAUUGACGGGGGCCCGCACAAGCGGUGGAGCAUGUGGUUUAAUUCGAAGCUACGCGAAGAACCUUACCAGGUCUUGACAUCUAGCGCCAAUCCUAGAGAUAGGACGUUCCCUUCGGGGACGCUAAGACAGGUGGUGCAUGGUUGUCGUCAGCUCGUGUCGUGAGAUGUUGGGUUAAGUCCCGCAACGAGCGCAACCCUUAUGAUUAGUUGCCAGCAUUUAGUUGGGCACUCUAAUCAGACUGCCGGUGACAAACCGGAGGAAGGUGGGG
rnacentral:rRNA from 1 species